AGGGUUUGAUCCUGGCUCAGGGCGAACGCUAGCGGCGCGCCUAACACAUGCAAGUCGUGCGGGAAAGAGCUUUGGCCCUAGUACCGCGGCAGACGGGUGAGUAACUCGUGAGUAACCUGUCCUCGGGUCUGGGAUAACCACCCGAAAGGGUGGCUAAUACCGGAUAAAGUCAUCGGGCGCAAGAUCGGUGAUGAAAGGGGGCCUCUGCAUAGCAAGCUCCUGCCUGAGGAGGGGCUCGCGGCCCAUCAGCUAGUUGGUGGGGUAACGGCCCACCAAGGCUAUGACGGGUAGCCGGCCUGAGAGGGUGGUCGGCCACACGGGCACUGAGACACGGGCCCGACUCCUACGGGAGGCAGCAGUGGGGAAUCUUGGGCAAUGGGCGAAAGCCUGACCCAGCGACGCCGCGUGGGGGAAGAAGGCCUUCGGGUCGUAAACCCCUGUUCUGGAGGAAGAACCCUGACUGGGUUAAGAGCCCAGUCAGGCUGACGGUACCCCAGGAGAAAGCCACGGCUAACUGCGUGCCAGCAGCCGCGGUCAUACGCAGGUGGCGAGCGUUGCCCGGAAUUACUGGGCGUAAAGGGUGCGUAGGCGGCCGGACAAGUCUUAGGUUAAAGCCCGGGGCUUAACCCCGGAAAGGCCUACGAUACUGUCUGGCUUGAGGGCUGGAGAGGUUGGCGGAAUUCCCGGUGUAGUGGUGAAAUCCGUAGAUAUCGGGAGGAACCCCGGAGGGGAAGCCGGCCAGCUGGACAGCCCCUGCCGCUGGGGCACGAAAGCGUGGGGAGAAAACCGGAUUAGAUACCCGGGUAGUCCACGCCGUAAACGAUGGGUGCUAGGUCUGGGGAGGUAAUCUCUCUGGGCCGAAGCUAACGCGUUAAGCACCCCGCCUGGGGAGUACGGCCGCAAGGCUGAAACUCAAAGGAAUUGACGG
rnacentral:rRNA from 1 species